rnacentral:rRNA from 1 species
GAUGAACGCUAGCGGGAGGCCUAAUACAUGCAAGUCGAACGGUAAGGUCCCUUCGGGGAUACACGAGUGGCGGACGGGUGCGUAACGCGUACGAAACAUACCUUCAACAGGGAGAUACCUCCGGGAAACUGGAAAUAAUACCCCAUAGUAUUGUGACAUCGCAUGAUGUUACAAUUAAAGCUUUGGCGGUUGAAGAUUGUCGUGCGUCUGAUUAGCUAGUUGGUGAGGUAACGGCUCACCAAGGCGACGAUCAGUAGCUGGUCUGAGAGGAUGAUCAGCCACACUGGAACUGAGACACGGUCCAGACUCCUACGGGAGGCAGCAGUAGGGAAUAUUGGACAAUGGGCGGAGCUGAUCCAGCCAUCCCGCCGUGAGCGAUGAAGG